ensembl:lncRNA novel transcript
UUCCGGAUGCCAAAGAGGCAAAUGUGGAAUGAUGUUAGGAUAUCACCUGUCAUAAUAUUAUACGGAUUCAGCUCAAAGCAGAACCUUUCUGCAAACACGUAGGGAUAUGAGGACCAACCUUAGUUUGUGAAAGAGAAUUAAGCUUUUCCAACCUUGAAAGCCUUCAGAUUACUGGAUCCCCAGAUGCUAUGGAUGGCCAGCUCCAUAAAAAGAAUUUUUAUCUCAUUUAAAAAAACUUCAUUAAGCUUUACCUCAAGUUACAGAAACAUGAUAAAGCACAAUGCAGUGGAAACAGCGUGGAGCUGGAGGAUGCCAGACGACAUUCCAGCCCUGAUUCCACUGCUCAUCACCAAUGUCACCCUGGGCAAGGUACUCCAGCCCUGCUGCUCAGUUUGCUCCACUGUAAAAUAUGAAGAUAAUAUCUUCCAUGUAAGAUAGUUGUGGGAUUAAAUGAGAUCAUGUAUGGAAA